CGCGGCCUAUCAGCUUGUUGGUGAGGUAACGGCUCACCAAGGCGACGACGGGUAACCGGCCUGAGAGGGUGACCGGUCACACUGGGACUGAGACACGGCCCAGACUCCUACGGGAGGCAGCAGUGGGGAAUAUUGCACAAUGGGCGCAAGCCUGAUGCAGCAACGCCGCGUGAGGGAUGACGGCCUUCGGGUUGUAAACCUCUUUUAGCAGGGAAGAAGCGAAAGUGACGGUACCUGCAGAAAAAGCACCGGCUAACUACGUGCCAGCAGCCGCGGUAAUACGUAGGGUGCAAGCGUUGUCCGGAAUUAUUGGGCGUAAAGAGCUCGUAGGCGGUUUGUCACGUCUGCUGUGAAAAUCCAAGGCUCAACCUUGGACUUGCAGUGGGUACGGGCAGGCUAGAGUGCGGUAGGGGAGAUGGGAAUUCCUGGUGUAGCGGUGGAAUGCGCAGAUAUCAGGAGGAACACCAAUGGCGAAGGCACAUCUCUGGGCCGUAACUGACGCUGAGGAGCGAAAGCGUGGGGAGCGAACAGGAUUAGAUACCCUGGUAGUCCACGCCGUAAACGGUGGGUGCUAGCUGUGGGCCACAUUCCACGUGGUCCGUGACGAAGUCAACACAUUAAGCACCCCGCCUGGGGAGUACGG
rnacentral:rRNA from 1 species